rnacentral:ncRNA from 1 species
UUCUUCAGGGUCGGGUGCAAUUCCCUACCGGCGGUGAAGCUGCGUGAGCAGACAAGUCCGCGACCCGCAUUAUGCGGCUGAUUCCGGUAAGAAUCCGGAACCGACAGUAAAGUCUGGAUGAAAGAAGAA